UACGGAGGGUGCAAGCGUUAUCCGGAUUUACUGGGUUUAAAGGGUGCGUAGGUGGGUUGGGAAGUCAGUGGUGAAAUACUUUCGCUUAACGAAGGAACUGCCAUUGAUACUAUCAAUCUUGAAUGUAGUGGAGGUAGGCGGAAUGCGUCAUGUAGCGGUGAAAUGCUUAGAUAUGACGCAGAACACCAAUUGCGAAGGCAGCUUGCUACACUACUAUUGACACUGAGGCACGAA
rnacentral:rRNA from 1 species